GCCUGGGUGGCUCAAUGGGUUGAGCGUCUGACUUUAACUCAGGUCAUGAGCUCACGGUUUGUGGGUUCUUGCCCCGCGUCGGGCU
rnacentral:tRNA from 1 species